rnacentral:misc_RNA from 1 species
AACGCACAUUGCACUCUCUGGUAUUCCGGAGAGUAUGCUUGUUUGAGUAUCAGUAAACACCUCAAAGCUCAACAUUCGUGUUGAGAAUUGGACUUGAGCAAUCCCAACUCUUUGCAAAAAGAGGCGGGUUGCUUGAAAUGCAGGUGCAGCUGGACAUUCUUCUGAGCUAAAAGCAUAUUUAUUUAGUCCCGUCAAACGGAUUAUUACUUUUGCUCUAGCUAACAUAAAGGUUGAAUGUUCUCUAUGCUGACUGAUGCAGGAUUACCAAGUUUUACUCGUAAAACUUGUAAACUCGAUCUCAAAUCAAGUAAGACUACCCGCUGAACUUAA